GACGAACGCUGGCGGCGUGCUUAACACAUGCAAGUCGAACGGACCUGAUUUAAGCUUGCUUAUUGAAAGGUUAGUGGCGAACGGGUGAGUAACACGUGGGCAACCUGCCCUUUAGCUGGGGACAACAUCCCGAAAGGGGUGCUAAUACCGAAUGUGGUCCUAAAGUUGCAUGACUUAAGGAAGAAAGGUGGCCUCUAUUUAUAAGCUACCGCUAAAGGAUGGGCCUGCGUCUGAUUAGCUAGUUGGAGUGGUAACGGCACACCAAGGCGACGAUCAGUAGCCGGUCUGAGAGGAUGAACGGCCACACUGGGACUGAGACACGGCCCAGACUCCUACGGGAGGCAGCAGUGGGGAAUUUUCCGCAAUGGGCGAAAGCCUGACGGAGCAACGCCGCGUGAGUGAAGAAGGUUUUCGGAUUGUAAAGCUCUUUUGUUAGGGACGAAUGUGCUUUUUGUAAAUAAUGAAAAGUAAUGACGGUACCUAAAGAAAAAGCCACGGCUAACUACGUGCCAGCCGCCGCAGUAAAAC
rnacentral:rRNA from 1 species